rnacentral:lncRNA from 1 species
UACCCUAAAUCUUAAAAUGUAAUAAUAAUAAAAAAAAAUAGCAAGUGAAGUACCCCAGAUGAAGCCGUUAAUAUAUUUCAUAUGCAAGCUGUGAGAGACUAGCUUUAUAAUAACUGUGAUAUCCUCCCACCAAAUUUGUCUAUCGUCUGGGUCAUGGUAUAUUUGAUGGUUAAGGGGGGCCCUUUUAUAUGGGUGCCCCUCUCACAGAAUUAUGGGUCUUUUUAAGAAGGCUUAUCAAAUCUGUCCCUCAUAUGCCUUAAAGAUGCAACUCCCUGCUGGGAACCCAAGUCUUUUUCACCAGAAAAAUUAAAGUGGUCUGGGGUUAAAAAAGACUUCUGGGGACCAGAACAUAAAACAUACAGAUUAAUAGAAUUAUAAAAUGUAAGAUGUUUAAACAAGCUCUCUGUGAGGUAGUUGUAACCCCUUUUACCUAAAUGUCUUAUGAAAAUGGAUAGUAUAUCUAACUGUGGAAUGUUUUCCUCUUUCUAGUACUGUAAAGCUGAAGACAUGUAAAUCUGCUCAUGUAAAUCCUCCACUGCAUAGUCUUUUGUUUGGAGCAUUUAUGGGGCUUAUGGUAAAAACCGUGUGUACUUUUCAGUAACAACGACUGAGCUAGAGAAUUUCUACUUCGUGGGGCAUUUACUGCCUUGCUGUGGAAUAUUAACUGGAGCUACCCCUAUACUAAUGGGAAUAAUGUUUUCCAAAAAGUUCCAUGGUAAAAUAAAAAUGGUUUACAUAAAAUCUUGCUAUAUAAUAAGCAGAGAGCCUUUUUCUAGGACUAAUUGUAAGAAGCUGCUAAAUUCUAUAGUGCCAAAUAGCUCUCAUGAGCUGUUUGGUUUGUAAAUGACAUUUCCAAGGUAAACAAACAUCUUGUCUUAAAAGCUGCUGCUCUGGUUAAAAGAGGGUCAAGACAUUUUUUUUUAAGUUAUUUGGAAAAAGUAUGUUUUUGUAAGCAAAUUUACCUUUCUGAGUUCUCCAAAAUUCAGAUUGUGAUUUUAUAACAUUAUAAUUGUCUGCAUUAGUUUAAUGAUAAUUAAAAAAUAAUUGUUUUAAGGGAAAAGUGUGACACUUAAUACUAGAUUUCAGUCCUAACUUUUUAAGUGCAGAUUAAAUUAUUGUUCUUGGCUACAAUAAUCCUCUAGAAAGUACCAGAUUGUAAUUUUUCUUCAUAUUUUUAGUUGGUGCCCUAAUAGAAUAGGGCACCUUUCUAUUUCCUUUUUCUGUUCUAACAUACAAAUUAUUCUAUAAUUGUCAAACUAUAAAUGUUAUUUAUCUCUCCUUGUUUUACUUCCAAGGAAACCAAAAUCAUGGUAUUCUGAAGACCAGAGAUAUGAAUCUCCUUCAUUUGGCAUCCCACCGGCCCCGAUCUGUUUCACUGCUAAUGUUCUGCUGCCAAAACUAUACAAGCUGCCUCACCCCUAGGCCCAGGGACUAUCACAGAAGAGGGGUAAUUUAAUAAGACAUGUAAUUUUAAGGCUCAGAGACCACAUCAUUGAACAUCUAUGUGCGCAUCCUGGAGAAGUCCCACUUACUGAAAGCCAAUAAAACUUUUCUUUUGAGUGAUUUGCAGCUUUUAACAAGUAAGUAAAAUAUACUCCUGUGAACAAAAUUUGGAGCAUAUUUGUUUCUCUCUACCUGAUUUCUCCAGAAUUUGGAAACUAUUUACUGAACCUGCUUAUUUCUGUGAACCAACCAGUGAUCUCUUAUGGCUGUUCAAAAGUAACAAGAGAGAUAUCACCUUUUGUCAUAACUCAAGUCUUAUGAAUGGCCCUCACCAUAAUGAUGCUUUUUGACUGAGCUCUUCUCUAACCUGAAUGCAAGAGGUUAGGCAUGAAUAUCAUCCCCCCUGUUCAGCCUGAAGAAGUUACAGAAGAUGAAUCUUCCACUCUCUACAGCCCUUAGGAUUAAGGGUUCUCUUACUGAAUGUAUUCUUAAACUGAACACUUAUUAAUCUUCCAGAUAUCACCUUUUGUCAUAACUCAAGACUUAUGAAUGGCCCUCACCAUAAUGAUGCUUUUUGACUGAGCUCUUCUCUAACCUGAAUGCAAGAGGUUAGGCAUGAAUAUCAUCCCCCCUGUUCAGCCUGAAGAAGUUACAGAAGAUGAAUCUUCCUCUCUCUACAGCCCUUAGGAUUAAGGGUUCUCUUACUGAAUGUAUUCUUAAACUGAACACUUAUUAAUCUUCCAGAUAUCACCUUUUGUCAUAACUCAAGACUUAUGAAUGGCCCUCACCAUAAUGAUGCUUUUUGACUGAGCUCUUCUCUAACCUGAAUGCAAGAGGUUAGGCAUGAAUAUCAUCCCCCCUGUUCAGCCUGAAGAAGUUACAGAAGAUGAAUCUUCCUCUCUCUACAGCCCUUAGGAUUAAGGGUUCUCUUAUAAAAGGGAGGGGGUAAAUAUGUCAGAGGCAUUUGAACCAGAGAAACUCCAUCUUGAAUAGUCCCUGUGUAAAAUAAGACUGAGACCUACUGGGAUGCAUUCCCAGGAGGUUAGGCAUUCUAAUUCACAGGAUGAGAUAAGAAGUCUCCACAAGAUACAGAUUAUAAAGAUUUGGCUGAUAAAACUGUUUGUGAUAAAGAAGCUGGCCAAAACACACCAAAACCAAGAUGCCAACAAAAGUGUCCUCUGGUUGUCCUCACUGCUCAUUAUAUGCUAAUUAUAAUGCAUUAGCAUGUUAAAAGACACUCCCACCAGUGCAAUGACAAUGUACAAAUGCCUUGGCAACAUCAAGAAGUUACCCUAUAUGGUUUAAAAAUGGUAGGAACCCUCAGUUCUGGGAAUUGCCCACCCCUUUUCUGGAAAACUCAUGAAUAAUCCACCCCUUAUUUAGCAUAUAAUCAAGAAAUAACUGGAAGUAUCCUUAGUGAAGCAGGCCAAGCCACUACUCUUCCUAUGGAGUAGACAUUCUUUCAUUAGUUAACUUUAUUAAUAAACUUGCUUUCACUUUA